rnacentral:rRNA from 1 species
UACGUAGGGGGCUAGCGUUGUCCGGAAUCAUUGGGCGUAAAGAGCGCGUAGGCGGCCAGAUAAGUCCGGUGUGAAAGUCAAAGGCUCAACCUUUGAAUGCCGCUGGAAACUGUCUGGCUAGAGUCCGGGAGGGGCGAGUGGAAUUCCUGGUGUAGCGGUGAAAUGCGCAGAUAUCAGGAGGAACACCAAUGGCGAAGGCAGCUCGCUGGAACGGUACUGACGCUGAGGCGACGAAAGCGUGGGGAGCGAACAGG